GUGCCGGUAAACCAUAACUAAUAACUAUCGUUACUUUCGAACCGGUUAUUUUACGAUUGAGGAACUCGCGACAACGUUACUCUUGAAUAUCGUUCCAAAAUCGCGGUAUCGAAAUAAUGGCCCUUGCAAGUGGCGUUACUGUCCCAUCCCAUCCCUAAUACUUAUUGCGUAGUAGCCACAGAUUACGUAAUCUGUGGUAACCUAUAAUAACAUUAUGGUGGUAACCGGGUAACCCAUAGACAAAUAAAUCUAUGGGGUAACCUGUUGCACUUGCAAAUCUUAGAACAUUAAUAAUCUAUCUAUCUAUAUUCUAAGUUGCAAAUAAAUAUCAGUUGACAGUUCAGACUAGUAUAGAAGUCGUUGGUAAUAUGUGGUGGUAAUAUUGUGCCUGUGCCCUGUAUUUCGUUUCAGUCGUACAUGUCACGUACGAUAAAAAUGUGUGUAAUGUGCCUGAUCAAAUUCUCUAGCUCACCAAGUGAUUUUUUUGUAAGCAGCUAAUAAUUUAUUUUUUUUAUAUCAUGAUAGUUCCUUGGAAGUUUGGUGGAAUUGUUCAAGUACAUUAAAUAUACAAUGAAUUAUAUGUGCUUUAUUGAAGAGGAGGAAUUCUGAUGUCGAUAUUAAAUUUGCCAAAAUGUUUCCAGAUAUCCAAAAAUGCAAUAAUCUAAUGGAGUCAAGUCUGAAGACUGUGUUGAGGAAGAAUCCCAGCUGAAUUUCUUCAUCCUUCAGCUAGUUUAUAAAUGGUUCUAGCAUAAAUCUUCUGUACCUCUCACCAUCGAUGGUUGCUUGAAAAGAAAUUGGUCCAUGUAUUCAAUGACAAGAAAGUGACAACCACACACCAACUUUUUGGGAAUGUACUGGAAUCUCAAUGAAAUUGUUAUGAUUCUCAGAUAUCCAAGAAGGUUUCUCCAAGUUCUUUGACAUGAUUCAAGCUGUAGAGAACCUUUGGAUUAUCCAGAGGUUCUCCCCAUUGCAUCUGGUCCAGAUCCCCUUCAACCCUUGAUUGGUUUGAGAUUACUCAGAGUCUAUGGAACUUCUCUUCAUUGUCCACACAGUGUUUGAACAGGCUGAUGAGUCUCUGGUCUUUGUAGAUACCUACCUGCUGACGCAGGUACAGGAAAUUAAUGAAGGUAAGUGGGCGUACAUUCUAAAGCAACUUUCAUUUAUCGAACUUUCUGAAGUAAUAUAUCAAGUAUGAAGAAUGAAACUUACAGUUCUCUAAUUAGAUAAUCCAUCUCUCAUUUCUUUGCUAGCCAAGGAGAGUGUUUCAAGCAUAUUUUGAAUGGCUGGCGUUUUCCUCUUUAGUUGGGGUAUCUCCUUAGCAGUAGAAGUGCUCUUCAUUCUUGUCUGCAAUUUUUCCCAUGGAGCCAUGGGUCUUCCUCCUAACUGCUUAAACUUAUCAGCAACUGAAUCUAGUGUUAUACUACAGGCUUGCGACUCAGAUUAAUAUAAUAAAUAAAAUAAAUAAAUAACAAAUAAUGUCAUCUUUUUCCAUCAAAUCAUGUUGAAACUCAUAUUGUUUUGUUCUCAUCAGCUCAAAGACUUGAAAGCUGUUCUAUGGUGCUCUUGAUCAUCACCUGUGAGAGCUACAUAUAACCAGUCAUACAUUUCCUUUUGAUUACUGAUGGUUAGAUGAUAUGCAUCACAAAAGUUUUUAAAUUG